rnacentral:rRNA from 1 species
UACGAGAGGCCCAAACGUUAUUCGGAAUUACUGGGCUUAAAGAGUUCGUAGGCGGCGCGGCAAGUGGGGUGUGAAAGCCCUCGGCUCAACCGAGGAAUUGCGCUCCAAACUACCGUGCUUGAGGAAGCUAGAGGUGAGCGGAACUGAUGGUGGAGCGGUGAAAUGCGUUGAUAUCAUCAGGAACACCGGAGGCGAAGGCGGCUCACUGGGGCUUUUCUGACGCUGAGGAACGAAAGCCAGGGUAGCGAACGGG